UUUCUUUUAGAAUGAUGAAAUGAAGGAUGUAGUGGUAAUUGACAACUGGGUAAGAUUCUGGUGCCCUGCUGAAACAGCUGUACUGGUUAAGAAAUUAAGAAAGCAGUUAGAUAAACUUUUGGAGGAAAAAAUAACCCAAACAGGAGUUACUAACUGGGAUAAAAGUUCUAAAGAAGGUGUACUAAUGCAUGCAAUAACAGACUUAAUUACUAUGGAAGAAAAGAAUAUCUCAAAUGGCUGAGAUCAGAUCCUGUAAACCAUGCAAUGUUGGACAAGAUAUGAUGCAAACUGGAAGAAAUCUACAAUGCCUGGUGAUGGGUCAAGGAAUCAUGUGGUGGAUAUACUUAAGAAUUGGUGAUCUGAGGAAUGAAUAAAUGAAAAAGAGAAUUG